rnacentral:rRNA from 1 species
CCUUGUAAGGGCUGCUGGAGGUAUCGGAAGUGCGAAUGCUGACAUGAGUAACGACAAUGACGGUGAAAAACCGUCACGCCGUAAGCCCAAGGGUUCCAGCGCAACGAUAUUCGGCGCUGGGUGAGUCGGCUCCUAAGGCGAGGCCGAGAGGCGUAGUCGAUGGAAAGCAGGCUAAUAUUCCUGCACUUGUUUCUGCUGCGAUGGGGUGACGGAGAAGGUUAGGCAAGCCACCUGUUGGAUGGUGGUUUAAGCGUUUAGGCGUACCCGGUAGGCAAAUCCGCUGGGAUUAGCUGAGGCGUGAUGACGAGCUCCUUUUGGAGCGAAGUUGCUGAUACCCCGCUUCCAAGAAAAACCUCUAAGCUUCAGGCAGAAAUGAGCCGUACCCCAAACCGACACAGGUGGGCGAGGAGAGUAUCCUCAGGCGUUUGAGACAACUCGGAAGAAGGAACUCGGCAAAUUAGUGCCGUAACUUCGGGAUAAGGCACGCCCACGCAAGUGGGCCGCAGUGAAGAGGGGGUUGCGACUGUUUAUCAAAAACACAGCACUCUGCAAACACGAAAGUGGACGUAUAGGGUGUGACUCCUGCCCGGUGCUGGAAGGUUCAGUGAUGGGGUCAGCCGCAAGGCGAAGCUCUUGAUCGAAGCCCCAGUAAACGGCGGCCGUAACAAUAACGGUCCUAAGGUAGCGAAAUUCCUUGUCGGGUAAGUUCCGACCUGCACGAAUGGAGUAACGAUAGCCCCACUGUCUCCUUCCGAGGCUCAGUGAAAUUGAAAUCGCUGUGACGAUGCAGUGUUCCCGCGGCAAGACGGAAAGACCCCGUGAACCUUCACUACAUCUUUACACUGGAUUUUGAGUUUGUUUGUGUAGGAUAGGUGGGAGCCUUUGAAGCCUGGGCGCCAGCUCAGGUGGAGGCAACCUUGAAAUACCACCCUGACAAACUCGAAGUUCUAACCUCGUCCAGUCAUCCUGGGCAGGGACAUUGUAUGGUGGGUAGUUUGACUGGGGCGGUCUCCUCCCAAAGAGUAACGGAGGAGUGCGAAGGUCAGCUCAGCGCGGUCGGAAAUCGCGCUCUUGAGUGCAUAGGCACAAGCUGGCUUGACUGCGAGACAGACAAGUCGAGCAGGUACGAAAGUAGGUCUAAGUGAUCCGGUGGUUCUGUAUGGAAGGGCCAUCGCUCAACGGAUAAAAGGUACUCCGGGGAUAACAGGCUGAUACCGCCCAAGAGUCCAUAUCGACGGCG